rnacentral:rRNA from 1 species
GCGGCGUGCUUAACACAUGCAAGUCGAACGGAAAGGCCCUGCUUUUGUGGGGUGCUCGAGUGGCGAACGGGUGAGUAACACGUGAGUAACCUGCCCUUGACUUUGGGAUAACUUCAGGAAACUGGGGCUAAUACCGGAUAGGAGCUCCUGCUGCAUGGUGGGGGUUGGAAAGUUUCGGCGGUUGGGGAUGGACUCGCGGCUUAUCAGCUUGUUGGUGGGGUAGUGGCUUACCAAGGCUUUGACGGGUAGCCGGCCUGAGAGGGUGACCGGCCACAUUGGGACUGAGAUACGGCCCAGACUCCUACGGGAGGCAGCAGUGGGGAAUAUUGCACAAUGGGCGGAAGCCUGAUGCAGCAACGCCGCGUGCGGGAUGACGGCCUUCGGGUUGUAAACCGCUUUCGCCUGUGACGAAGCGUGAGUGACGGUAAUGGGUAAAGAAGCACCGGCUAACUACGUGCCAGCAGCCGCGGUGAUACGUAGGGUGCGAGCGUUGUCCGGAUUUAUUGGGCGUAAAGGGCUCGUAGGUGGUUGAUCGCGUCGGAAGUGUAAUCUUGGGGCUUAACCCUGAGCGUGCUUUCGAUACGGGUUGACUUGAGGAAGGUAGGGGAGAAUGGAAUUCCUGGUGGAGCGGUGGAAUGCGCAGAUAUCAGGAGGAACACCAGUGGCGAAGGCGGUUCUCUGGGCCUUUCCUGACGCUGAGGAGCGAAAGCGUGGGGAGCGAACAGGCUUAGAUACCCUGGUAGUCCACGCUGUAAACGGUGGGUACUAGGUGUGGGGUCCAUUCCACGGGUUCCGUGCCGUAGCUAACGCUUUAAGUACCCCGCCUGGGGAGUACGGCCGCAAGGCUAAAACUCAAAGGAAUUGACGGGGCCCCGCACAAGCGGCGGAGCAUGCGGAUUAAUUCGAUGCAACGCGUAGAACCUUACCUGGGUUUGACAUGGAUCGGGAGUGCUCAGAGAUGGGUGUGCCUCUUUUGGGGUCGGUUCACAGGUGGUGCAUGCCUGUCGUCAGCUCGUGUCGUGAGAUGUUGGGUUAAGUCCCGCAACGAGCGCAACCCUUGUUCACUGUUGCCAGCACGUUAUGGUGGGGACUCAGUGGAGACCGCCGGGGUCAACUCGGAGGAAGGUGGGGAUGACGUCAAGUCCUCAUGCCCCUUAUGUCCAGGGCUUCACGCAUGCUACAAUGGCUGGUACAGAGAGUGGCGAGCCUGUGAGGGUGAGCGAAUCUCGGAAAGCCGGUCUCAGUUCGGAUUGGGGUCUGCAACUCGACCUCAUGAAGUCGGAGUCGCUAGUAAUCGCAGAUCAGCAACGCUGCGGUGAAUACGUUCCCGGGGCUUGUACACACCGCCCGUCAAGUCAUGAAAGUUGGUAACACCCGAAGCCGGUGGCCUAACCGUUGUGGGGGAGCCGUCGAAGGUGGGACUGGUGAUUAGGACUAAGUCAUAACAAG